rnacentral:rRNA from 1 species
GUGCCAGCCGCCGCGGUAAUACGGAGGGUGCAAGCGUUAUCCGGAUUCACUGGGUUUAAAGGGUGCGUAGGCGGGCAGGUAAGUCAGUGGUGAAAUCUCCGAGCUUAACUUGGAAACUGCCGUUGAUACUAUCUGUCUUGAAUGCUGUGGAGGUAAGCGGAAUAUGUCAUGUAGCGGUGAAAUGCUUAGAUAUGACAUAGAACACCUAUUGCGAAGGCAGCUUGCUACACAGAAAUUGACGCUGAGGCACGAAAGCGUGGGGAUCAAACAGGAUUAGAAACCCUCGUAGUCC